AUGAACGCUGGCGGCGUGCCUAAUACAUGCCAGUCGAGCGAACAGAUGAGGAGCUUGCUCCUCUGACGUUAGCGGCGGACGGGUGAGUAACACGUGGAUAACCUACCUAUAAGACUGGGAUAACUUCGGGAAACCGGAGCUAAUACCGGAUAAUAUAUUGAACCGCAUGGUUCAAUAGUGAAAGACGGUUUUGCUGUCACUUAUAGAUGGAUCCGCGCCGCAUUAGCUAGUUGGUAAGGUAACGGCUUACCAAGGCAACGAUGCGUAGCCGACCUGAGAGGGUGAUCGGCCACACUGGAACUGAGACACGGUCCAGACUCCUACGGGAGGCAGCAGUAGGGAAUCUUCCGCAAUGGGCGAAAGCCUGACGGAGCAACGCCGCGUGAGUGAUGAAGGUCCUCGGAUCGUAAAACUCUGUUAUUAGGGAAGAACAAAUGUGUAAGUAACUAUGCACGUCUUGACGGUACCUAAUCAGAAAGCCACGGCUAACUACGUG
rnacentral:rRNA from 1 species